rnacentral:rRNA from 1 species
AAUGGGCGCAAGCCUGAUGCAGCGACGCCGCGUGAGGGAUGAAGGCCUUCGGGUUGUAAACCUCUUUCAGUAGGGAAGAAGCUGGCCUUUUGGGUUGGUGACGGUACCUGCAGAAGAAGCGCCGGCUAACUACGUGCCAGCAGCCGCGGUAAUACGUAGGGCGCAAGCGUUAUCCGGAAUUAUUGGGCGUAAAGAGCUCGUAGGCGGUUUGUCGCGUCUGCCGUGAAAGUCCGGGGCUUAACUCCGGAUCUGCGGUGGGUACGGGCAGACUAGAGUGCAGUAGGGGAGACUGGAAUUCCUGGUGUAGCGGUGAAAUGCGCAGAUAUCAGGAGGAACACCGAUGGCGAAGGCAGGUCUCUGGGCUGUAACUGACGCUGAGGAGCGAAAGCAUGGGGAGCGAACAGGAUUAGAUACCCUGGUAGUCCAUGCCGUAAACGUUGGGCACUAGGUGUGGGGGACAUUCCACGUUUUCCGCGCCGUAGCUAACGCAUUAAGUGCCCCGCCUGGGGAGUACGGCCGCAAGGCUAAAACUCAAAGGAAUUGACGGGGGCCCGCACAAGCGGCGGAGCAUGCGGAUUAAUUCGAUGCAACGCGAAGAACCUUACCAAGGCUUGACAUGAACCGGAAUGAUGCAGAGAUGUGUCAGCCACUUGUGGCCGGUUUACAGGUGGUGCAUGGUUGUCGUCAGCUCGUGUCGUGAGAUGUUGGGUUAAGUCCCGCAACGAGCGCAACCCUCGUUCCAUGUUGCCAGCGGGUUAUGCCGGGGACUCAUGGGAGACUGCCGGGGUCAACUCGGAGGAAGGUGGGGACGACGUCAAAUCAUCAUGCCCCUUAUGUCUUGGGCUUCACGCAUGCUACAAUGGCCGGUACAAAGGGUUGCGAUACUGUGAGGUGGAGCUAAUCCCAAAAAGCCGGUCUCAGUUCGGAUUGAGGUCUGCAACUCGACCUCAUGAAGUUGGAGUCGCUAGUAAUCGCAGAUCAGCAACGCUGCGGUGAAUACGUUCCCGGGCCUUGUACACACCGCCCGUCAAGUCACGAAAGUUGGUAACACCCGAAGC